UUAAGCGACUAAGCGUACACGGUGGAUGCCCUGGCAGUCAGAGGCGAUGAAGGACGUGCUAAUCUGCGAAAAGCGUCGGUAAGGUGAUAUGAACCGUUAUAACCGGCGAUGUCCGAAUGGGGAAACCCAGUGUGAUUCGUCACACUAUCGUUAACUGAAUACAUAGGUUAACGAGGCGAACCGGGGGAACUGAAACAUCUAAGUACCCCGAGGAAAAGAAAUCAACCGAGAUUCCCCCAGUAGCGGCGAGCGAACGGGGAGCAGCCCAGAGUCUGAAUCAGCUUGUGUGUUAGUGGAACGGUCUGGAAAGUCCGACGGUACAGGGUGAUAGUCCCGUACACCAAAAUGCACAGGUUGUGAACUCGAAGAGUAGGGCGGGACACGUGGUAUCCUGUCUGAAUAUGGGGGGACCAUCCUCCAAGGCUAAAUACUCCUGACUGACCGAUAGUGAACCAGUACCGUGAGGGAAAGGCGAAAAGAACCCCGGCGAGGGGAGUGAAAAAGAACCUGAAACCGUGUACGUACAAGCAGUGGGAGCACCUUCGGGUGUGACUGCGUACCUUUUGUAUAAUGGGUCAGCGACUUAUAUUCUGUAGCAAGGUUAACCGUAUAGGGGAGCCGCAGGGAAACCGAGUCUUAACUGGGCGUUAAGUUGCAGGGUAUAGACCCGAAACCCGGUGAUCUAGCCAUGGGCAGGUUGAAGGUUGGGUAACACUAACUGGAGGACCGAACCGACUAAUGUUGAAAAAUUAGCGGAUGACUUGUGGCUGGGGGUGAAAGGCCAAUCAAACCGGGAGAUAGCUGGUUCUCCCCGAAAGCUAUUUAGGUAGCGCCUCGUGAAUUCAUCUUCGGGGGUAGAGCACUGUUUCGGCUAGGGGGUCAUCCCGACUUACCAACCCGAUGCAAACUACGAAUACCGAAGAAUGUUAUCACGGGAGACACACGGCGGGUGCUAACGUCCGUCGUGAAGAGGGAAACAACCCAGACCGCCAGCUAAGGUCCCAAAGUCAUGGUUAAGUGGGAAACGAUGUGGGAAGGCACAGACAGCCAGGAUGUUGGCUUAGAAGCAGCCAUCAUUUAAAGAAAGCGUAAUAGCUCACUGGUCGAGUCGGCCUGCGCGGAAGAUGUAACGGGGCUAAACCAUGCACCGAAGCUGCGGCAGCGACACUAUGUGUUGUUGGGUAGGGGAGCGUUCUGUAAGCCUGCGAAGGUGUGCUGUGAGGCAUGCUGGAGGUAUCAGAAGUGCGAAUGCUGACAUAAGUAACGAUAAAGCGGGUGAAAAGCCCGCUCGCCGGAAGACCAAGGGUUCCUGUCCAACGUUAAUCGGGGCAGGGUGAGUCGACCCCUAAGGCGAGGCCGAAAGGCGUAGUCGAUGGGAAACAGGUUAAUAUUCCUGUACUUGGUGUUACUGCGAAGGGGGGACGGAGAAGGCUAUGUUAGCCGGGCGACGGUUGUCCCGGUUUAAGCAUGUAGGCUGGUUGUCCAGGCAAAUCCGGAUAAUCAAGGCUGAGGUGUGAUGACGAGGCACUACGGUGCUGAAGUAACAAAUGCCCUGCUUCCAGGAAAAGCCUCUAAGCAUCAGGUAACAUCAAAUCGUACCCCAAACCGACACAGGUGGUCAGGUAGAGAAUACCAAGGCGCUUGAGAGAACUCGGGUGAAGGAACUAGGCAAAAUGGUGCCGUAACUUCGGGAGAAGGCACGCUGGUGUGUAGGUGAAGCCCCUGCGGGUGGAGCUGAGACCAGUCGAAGAUACCAGCUGGCUGCAACUGUUUAUUAAAAACACAGCACUGUGCAAACACGAAAGUGGACGUAUACGGUGUGACGCCUGCCCGGUGCCGGAAGGUUAAUUGAUGGGGUUAUCCGUAAGGAGAAGCUCUUGAUCGAAGCCCCGGUAAACGGCGGCCGUAACUAUAACGGUCCUAAGGUAGCGAAAUUCCUUGUCGGGUAAGUUCCGACCUGCACGAAUGGCGUAAUGAUGGCCAGGCUGUCUCCACCCGAGACUCAGUGAAAUUGAACUCGCUGUGAAGAUGCAGUGUACCCGCGGCAAGACGGAAAGACCCCGUGAACCUUUACUAUAGCUUGACACUGAACAUUGAGCCUUGAUGUGUAGGAUAGGUGGGAGGCUUUGAAGCGUGGACGCCAGUCUGCGUGGAGCCAACCUUGAAAUACCACCCUUUAAUGUUUGAUGUUCUAACGUUGGCCCCUUACCGGGGUUGCGGACAGUGUCUGGUGGGUAGUUUGACUGGGGCGGUCUCCUCCCAAAGCGUAACGGAGGAGCACGAAGGUUAGCUAAUCCUGGUCGGACAUCAGGAGGUUAGUGCAAUGGCAUAAGCUAGCUUGACUGCGAGCGUGACGGCGCGAGCAGGUGCGAAAGCAGGUCAUAGUGAUCCGGUGGUUCUGAAUGGAAGGGCCAUCGCUCAACGGAUAAAAGGUACUCCGGGGAUAACAGGCUGAUACCGCCCAAGAGUUCAUAUCGACGGCGGUGUUUGGCACCUCGAUGUCGGCUCAUCACAUCCUGGGGCUGAAGUAGGUCCCAAGGGUAUGGCUGUUCGCCAUUUAAAGUGGUACGCGAGCUGGGUUUAGAACGUCGUGAGACAGUUCGGUCCCUAUCUGCCGUGGGCGCUGGAGAAUUGAGGGGGGCUGCUCCUAGUACGAGAGGACCGGAGUGGACGCAUCACUGGUGUUCGGGUUGUCAUGCCAAUGGCACUGCCCGGUAGCUAAAUGCGGAAGAGAUAAGUGCUGAAAGCAUCUAAGCACGAAACUUGCCCCGAGAUGAGUUCUCCCUGAGACUUUAAGUCUCCUGAAGGAACGUUAAAGACGAUGACGUUGAUAGGCCGGGUGUGUAAGCGCAGCGAUGCGUUGAGCUAACCGGUACUAAUGAACCGUGAGGCUUAACCUU
rnacentral:rRNA from 1 species